AGGUGGGCUAGACCGGAGGGUUAGGGGUCCUUUGUUAGCGCAUAUCCCCUUAUGGCGCGGUCGAAGUUCAAGAGGCGGCAUAUCAAACGGGUUUUGGCCCUUGAAUUUGAUGUCGAAACUUCGUCCUGCAGGAUCAGUGGUAGCAGGAUUUGGGCUGUAGGGCCUGAAUUAACUGUUUUAACCAUGGGAACGGGUCAGGUCUGGAAAGAAGCAUCUCUACUGUGGACAGCUGAUGCUUGUGGAGCAACGGGGUGGAGUCAGGUUUUUGGAUCACCAAUGCUCGCGAGGUUUGUCCACUCUUGAACGUGCCCACCU
rnacentral:SRP_RNA from 1 species